rnacentral:rRNA from 1 species
AAUCCUGGCUCAGAUUGAACGCUGGCGGCAUGCCUAACACAUGCAAGUCGAACGGUAACAGGUCUUCGGAUGCUGACGAGUGGCGGACGGGUGAGUAAUGCGUAGGAAUCUGUCUUUUAGUGGGGGACAGCCCAGGGAAACUUGGGCUAAUACCGCAUGAGCCCUGAGGGGGAAAGCGGGGGAUCUUCGGACCUCGCGCUAAGGGAGGAGCCUACGUCUGAUUAGCUAGUUGGUAGGGUAAAGGCCUACCAAGGCGACGAUCGGUAGCUGGUCUGAGAGGACGACCAGCCACACUGGGACUGAGACACGGCCCAGACUCCUACGGGAGGCAGCAGUGGGGAAUUUUUCGCAAUGGGGGCAACCCUGACGAAGCUUGCCGCGUGGAUGAAGAAGGCCUUCGGGUUGUAAAGUCCUUUCGUGGAGGACGAAAAGGCAGGUGCUAACAUCAUUUGCUGUUGACGUGAAUCCAAGAAGAAGCACCGGCUAACUCCGUGCCAGCAGCCGCGGUAAUACGGGGGGUGCAAGCGUUAAUCGGAAUCACUGGGCGUAAAGGGUGCGUAGGCGGUACAUUUAGGUCUGUCGUGAAAUCCCUGGGCUCAACCUGGGAAUGGCGGUGGAAACCGGUGAACUAGAGUAUGGGAGAGGGUGGUGGAAUUCCAGGUGUAGCGGUGAAAUGCGUAGGGAUCUGGAGGUACAUCUGUGGUAAAG